CUGUGCAAAAGCCCUCUCUCAGGCCCUCAGCUCAACGCCGCCACCUUCCUCCUCCGUUCACACUGCCCACUCCUCUUAUCGCCGACCAAAGCAGCCAGCACCAUCCCCCUCUCUGAUCUUUCUCACCGAGCAGGCAAAAGCCAACUUCUCCUAUUCCCUCACUUCUUUCACCUGCAAGCAUUCAUCCGCACAUGCAUACAUACACACAUGCAUACACAAUCACAAUGCAAACACAACUGCAGCGCCGCACCGUCCUCUGCUCCACUGAGCACCUCGCAGCAGCAGCAGCAACACAGCUAGCCCGUAGCUCUUUCGCAGCGCCGCCGUGCGUGCCAUCGCGCGCACUGUCCCGACUGCCCCGAUGGUGCUUUGCGUCGCCGACCUUCCUCUGCUCGACGCACCGACCCAACCGUGCCGUCGCCAUUCAUCCAUGGCACGAAGUCAAGGUUCUAAGCUAGGGCGUGAGGAAGGAACUGAAGGCGAGGUCCAAUGAAGAAGAACUCGGGAAACUCGAACAACAAGACCAAUCGUGACUUGACCCUUCAGGAAGAUAAGUCCUAUUUUCGUGAUCAUAUUGAACCUAUGUUUUCAACUAAUCUACAUGAUCAAUUAAAAUCAGACUUAUUAUCGUAUGUGCUAUAUGUAUUGCAUUUUUACAAAUUACUUGUAAUAGUUAAUCCUAUCAAAUACAUGUCAUGUCUUGAAUAUUAUCAUCCAGAAUACAUAUCACCCUAGUAUUACCUGUCGUUAUCUGUAUUAACGUCGGACGAUGCCAUGAUAUCUAGCAUGCUUAGGAUUGAAUACGUCUCCUCAGAGACGUCACUUUUAAAACACCUCUCUUCGGAGAUAAGAUUUACUAUUAUCAAUGACAACUCAUAUACUAUGAAUCCUUGAUGGUUGUGAAUUCCGUGAUGGUUAUGAAAUCCUUGACAUCGUGUGGGAUAUGGAGGGUGAUGUGUAAAAAUAAGUGAAAACUGUUUUGGCGCGGGCAGGUAGAGUUGUCCUCCGGGGAGGAUGCUCUUGGGGGCUUGACUUACCUGAUGGUAUUCAUUGCCAAUGAAGAUGCCUAGCCCAGCCGUUUAAGGGCCGAGUCUUGCGCCGUCAUGCUUAGCCAACCCCGUGCAACCAUACGUUAUGUAUGGGCAGGACUUGACCUUCCUUCACCGGACUGAGUUGGGAAUCAUACUAGGAGGCUAGGGAGCAACAAGAAGCCAAGUGUCUAUCUGACCCUCUGAUGAAUAUUUCGAGAGACGGCAUAGCCAAUCUGGUAUUCUGAACAUGGUCUCUGAUACUUGGGGUGUCUCGUAGAAAAGCCUGGUAGGAAAUAUGUUUGGAGGGUCUCGGUAUGAUUCGCUCCUCCGCUUGCAAUGAUUGAAGGCUGAGUAUAUCGCGUGGGUACAGUGUACAACCUCUGCAGAGUGUAAAUCUAUUCAAAUAGCCGUGUCCACGGUCAUGGACAUGCGAAGGCAUGGUCACGCUUGAGUAGACUCCGGGUACGUGCGUCUUGAUGAGUGAGUGUGUGGACUAGAUGUCCGUGUGAUGAGGUUCCUAGCUCAAUCCGCCAGAAGCCAUGUGGUACUAGAGGUACACCAGAUGUGGAAAUAGGGACUGCGAAGUGAGGUAUAGCCCCUCCCAGGACCGAAAACCCCCAGAUAUAACUUGUUACCCUGAUUCUGGUUUUAAAACUGUUUCAACAGCUUUGUUACUAGGUUACCUUCUCGUACGUUAGGGACUUGAGGUGAUACUCAGUACCAACGGAAGAUGCCUGCAAUUGUUACUUUUAAAAUCGUUUCAACAACUUUCAACCAGGUUACCUUCUCAUAUGUUGGGGACUUGAUGUGAUACUCAGUACCAAUGGAAGAUGCCUGCAAUUAUUACUUUUCAAACUAUUUUCAAAAGCUUUGUUACAUUUAUUUAAAAAGGAUAAUAGUGGAGAAUAUAACUGGAUACUAGCAUAAAAUCUGCUUUAUGCUCAAAACUAUGUCAUAAAGCCUUAUCCUUAAAAUGUCCAUUAUGCAUCUAUCAACCCCUUGAAGUAGUAUAUGACUUGUUGAGUACCUUCCGUACUCAGUCUUGUUGCUUUCAGAUUGUUGAGUUGGAGAUCAGCCUCAACCCAAAUGAAGUUAAAGAGAAGAAGUCUAAGGUCACGUCCGCACCCGAGAUACCUGUGGCAUUGGGUUGCUUCGUUGUUUCACUCCGCUGUGCUGUAGGCUCUUCUGCCUGGCUGGUCUGCUAUGGAUUCUUGUCCACCAGUCCAUCUUUUCUCUUUUCAGGUAUUUAUUUUACCUUGUUCUGUUCGAAGUAUAUAUUUGAUAUCAUUCUGUUGAAUUCUGUGCGUAUCAGCUACUUGAUCCAAGGGUUGAUAUAGGAGGCACAUGGGAACCCGGGUUCGGGGUCCUGACAUAGUUUAGGUGACCAAGCCAAACACACAUCUGGUUUGGGCUCCAGUAUUAGUAUGCAACAAGGAAAGGCAAUGCAUAGAAGAGAAAUUAUUGAUGACAGGCUUAGCAAAAAGAAAAGGUCCAGCAGCUCAACGGUAAAUGAUGUAGUCAAAUACGUGUGUUCCAGUCCAGUUCAAAGCAAGAAAGUGAAAAAGCAGCUACUAUGACUAACCAAAAGUAUGGCCCUGGUGUGGUUAAUUGAAUGAAGAAGGUGUAGGUUCCUGGAGGUAGCACACAAGUUUAGACUAAGUAUGGUGUUCAAGAAUCUAUUGCUAGACUACACAGGAGGCAAAGUUGAAGGUGACGGGAUCUAGGAAACGGUCGCGAAAUCAUAGGUUCACACAUGAUCAUCAAAACCCUUGGCAGCCACAUCAUCUAUAUUCAUUACCUGCUCCAUCGAUGCCCUCAUCGUGAAAACUAUCCCCAGAUACUUGAGAUAGAUAUGUGAACUAAAACACGAUUGAUGCUUGGUUAAUCAUCGCCCCCAGAAAGGCAAGAGGAGAGAUAAUAUAUUCCUCAUGCUCGUUUUAUUGUUCAAUAACUUUUUUGGUAAGCAAGCUUUAGCAAAAGAAUAGGAGAGCAUGUGUCGAUGAAAAGAUUUGGUCUUUAUAUUGGCUAUUGCAGUGGAAUGAGAUCAGUACCUACAACCAAUGAACAGUACAUCCGACCAGUGGUCAGUACUCUAACCAGUUAGCAGUACCUACGAUCAUGAAUAGUACCUCCGACCAUAAAAAAUACUUCUGAUCAGAUGAACAUUAACUCCGACCAGAUGAACAAGAACUCCGACCAAAGAAACAGUACCUCUGACCAGUGAACAGUACUUGCAACCGGUUGAAACAAUGUAUGCGACUAGUGAACCAUGAAGACCGAAUUGUAAUAAAGAAUAUUCAGGUAGAUAUAUAGGAGUUCACGUGGUCAACUAGAAAAGAUAUGUUAGUUAUAGAAAGUUUGGAGAUCAGAAGACAAGUCAAAUCAUAUCUAUAAGUCAUGUUCGGUUUGAAUUAGGAGUUCUGAUUUUGUACGGCUAAGAUCUGCCAUCCUUUAAAUAUGAGAGGGUCAUGGCCAAUUGAAAAGAAUCAUCCAAUCGAUCAAAACACAAUCGCAUCUAUUUUUUUUACCUAGUUCAUGUAGUCAUGUCUCUUUUCCUUCUUCUUGUUGCUGCUACUCGUUCUUGAUCUCGACGACCAAGGACAAGCCAUCGUCUGACCCUGCCCUGAUGAGGUACCUCCCUAGUGCAAUUUGCUAAUGAAGAUCUGUCGCCACAGUUCUAGACUGGGAUUCCCAGGUGCUACUCGUCGAGUAGUUAUCUUUUGUCGGUUUGCUUGUAAAUCGGUCGCUUGUUGCCACGAAAGCACAAUAUUGCGAAGCUAGAAGAAGCAUGUGUGAAAGAUAUGCAAAUGGCUAGCUCAAGGUAAAGGUAUAAAAUGUAGGAUAUUUUCUUUUUGCCGGUCAAUGGUGAUUAGAGAAGAAAAAUGACCGGAUUGAUAGGAUAAGUAUCGUACCAUUAAGAGGAGUUGAUGUGUGUUUACUUGAGAUAUCAAAAGUAUCAUAAUUGCUAAAACUUACAUUUCAUUUAGAAUGAGGAAUUUAGUUUGAGAAUAAUCGAAAAAACUACUUUUUGGAGUGUUCUGUAUCGUGGCGGUUUGACCGCCAUAUGUGGUAGGUAUGACCAUUGUAUAAAUAAGGCAGAAGUUUCCCAAGGACAGAGAGUUUUAGACUCUCUACUCUGGUUGGCGGUUUGACCGCCAGAGAACAAAGAGUUUUGAUGCUCUGUUCGAGGCUCGUAGUCUGACCGAGAUCAGUGGUGGUCUGACUGUCAGGUCAUUUAUUCACUGAUGUCAGAGUCAUCAUUACACCUUUAGUAGCCAUUGGAUUAGCAGCGAUCUGACCGUCAAAUAUGCAGAGUAUUCAAACUUUGGGCAACACCCAUAUUUUGAGUUGUAGGCUAUAAAUAGACCCCUUUGUUGGUUCAAAGGAGAGGCUAGCACUUCAUUUUCUGAACUCUUGAGCACUUGACUUUCUCCUCUCUGUCUCUUAGCUUAGUGGUUGUAUAUUUUGAGAGUGUGAGAGCAUUUAGUGCAUUGCAUUGUAGCGGUUGAGUUUUGUGAUACUAGUGAUUCUUCAAGCAAGCGUCGUUGACUUAUUACUCUUAAAGGUUGUCAUCUUCUAGACGGCUUGAAGGUAGUUGUAUCAUGGAGCCCUUCAAAGAAGUUUAUGAAGGAGCCAUAGUGGUGAUUGUGAGAGGUUUUGAUCACGUCUCGCUGGAGCGGUUAAGUGUUACUCUAGUGAAAUUGAGGUAUUGAAUAGUUUAUUAUUUUAUUUUGGUUUAAGAUCAAGUUGCUCGGUGUGAACCCUUUGUCGUGGUGAGAAUUGCAUACUUGAUAGAAGAGUGAUUAGAAACUUGAACUCACCUCAAUAUAGAUUAGGGGUGAUCGACAAAUCACUAAUACCAUGAAAUAAAAUUUGGGUGUUAUCUCUUGUAUUAUUUAUAUUUAUGCAAUUUACAUUAAGCAAUUUAUCUUCUUAAAAUAUAAAUUGUUGCAUGCCACCCUAUAAUUACAAAUUUUGAUAUAGUUCUAGUUGCAUAUUGCUCUAGUGAUCUCUAGUUUAAAUUAUGUAAGUUUUAUUUAAUCGCUAAGUAAUUAAUUAUGAAAUCACCUAUUCAUUCUCCUCUAAUCGAUAUUCUAGGUCCUGCACUAGUGGUGAUACUUGAGGUAUUCACUCCCACGCACACGAAUACAACAUGUAGGACCAGGAUCGGCGUGAGUAGCAUCCUCCGUGUAUUCUCUACUAACAACGUUUCAAGUGCAUGUUAAUUUUCAGUUAAUAUUUGCAUUAUUUAGUCUAAUUUUAAAAAAAUAUUUUUUAUUUUUUGUCGUGUACCAUCAGUUUGAACUUUAGCCAUCCUUUUCUUUUAAAUUAUUUUUCAAUGAUUUGUAGAGUGUCUUUUCCCGGGUUUGUUUCCGAUGAAUAGAAUGUGUGCUUGUAUACUCUCUCCAAUCACAAGAAAAUGAUGGAAUGAGUUGCAUGUACUAAAUUUAAUCAUCAAUUGCUUAUUGAACAUUUGGAAAUGGUUAGAUUUGUCAUGAAAUGUUGUAUAAUGGUAUAUUUUUUCUAUAUUUUACAAAUAUAAGCAACAUGAUCAGUAGUGUCUGUUGUAGAUUGCAUGGAUGCUAAAAAACGACUCAUUUUUUCUUACUAGAGGGAGUGCCUUCUACUUUACUCAACUUUAACAGAGACUAUGCACAAAUUGACUGAAAUUGCUUUUGGAUGAUGUUUUAGCUCGGUUCAAGUAGCUGCAGCUGCUCUCCAUGAACAAUCCAAAGAGAACUUUAGAGAAAAAAGCGUUUUUGAAACCCUUUUUUUUUCGAAAAACUAUAAGCAGGAGCACUGCUCUUUUCAUAAUCUGGAACCCUUUUUGACUUUCGUGUGGGUCGUGGCCCAUGAGGAGCACCGUUAAAAAGCUUUGAAAUUACGGAGUAGCUUGAAUCACCUGGUUGAACCUUGGACGACAAGUGCUGGUACACUCGCUACAGUUCGCGGCCGCGGAGUGGUCGUUUUCUUUAGUCACCGACCCACCUUGGGACAAUGAAAGAAGCUGACAAGUGGUGGCGGAGCCUCGUAAAUGCCUUCAUUGGUAGAGCCCUCCACGCGGCAUUCCUUCACUCUACAUCCCCGCUGCGGAUACGCAGGCGGGAUGGGCGCGUCUACCACCCCGUGUCUUCGGAUUAUGAGGAUAUCUUCACUGGUUAUAGGUAAUGGUAGUUUUUAUUAUUACAGAUGUAAAAAGAGAAAAAUAUGUGGAGUGGAGGUAAGAGCUACCUGUUAGUUUUUAUUUUGCUGAUGUGAAGUGGAAUUUUGGGGCUAAUUUUUGUUAGAGAGAAAUUAAGAGAUAA